GAGAGGGCCAACUGGCGAAGAACGAAGAAGGUAGGUCUGGGUCACUAAGGAGGUCCAUCUGCCUACUUCUGCACCUACCUUGUCUCUGUCUGUCUCUCUCACUUUCUAAUUAACAAAGGGCUAUCGAUUAAUCCUUAUGUGCAUCCGACACGGCACCACCCUGUCAUGCCGCCCUAUGCCAUCCUCUCCCUUUGACCCUAGUGGUUGAAGUUGCAGUAUUUACAGCCUACUACCUAUAUCUUUUGGGUAGCUGUAUCUAGCCUAUCUCUGUUUACUUCUCAAAACUCAAAAGCAAACCACAGGUAGCACAUGGUUGAUGCUCAUGCUUCUCUCUGUCACGCUCACGAGAGAGACUAGAUGAUGUGCCAUCUCUCUCUCUCUUUCUUGCUGUCUGGCUUGGUGUGUACAUCUGUCUCAUCUUGUGCCCUAUAAAUAACACCUCUCCCAAUCUGGUUUUUAUCUCUAAGUGGUAUCUUUUCUUCUAGGGUUUCUUCCUCUUUUUAAGUCUUUUAGCUUAGGUUGUCUCUUUCGUUCCAGCAGAUGGUAUUCUUUAAUCUGUUCAUGAGCAAUUCUUCAUCCUUCUUCUCUUAUUCUACAUUUCAUGGUGACAUUUUGGUCCCCAGCUUUCUGUAUGUCCUUUUUUAUUUACUUAAUUUUAUUGAACUCCCUCUGGGUGUUGUUGAACCUUUUAUUUCUACUGUGUUUUUAGGAAAAGGGUUUUAAUCUUUCUAGGUUUUACUUUAGUAUCAACCUUCUCCUGUGGAUUUAACAAACCCCCAAGUUAUUUCUGGACAGCAACAGUAAUCCUUAUAAGGAAGAAGUGAAGCUGCCAGCAUGAUCUACCUUUGGCUGGAUGAGUGGUUCUAAAUAAAAUGUGAAAAACCCAUAUAUCGAACCCUAGCUAGGUCAUGCUCUGACAGCCUCACUCUUUCCCAUUUUGGGAACAAUUAGAUUCUCAAUCUCAAACCUUCUGGAGAGAAAAAGAUGUAACCGCUCGGCCAUGUUUGCUUUUGGAUCUACAACGGUGGGCUCAGUAAAAAACAAGAUUUCUUUAACUUAUCUUUAAUGGGUUUUCUGAAUCUUCUUCAUUCUUUUGAUGGCUAGGCCAUGCUUGUAUGAAAUGAAGGAAGAUUGUUCUAUCAAGUGUCUGAUUUAUACCUUUUCUUUACCCUUUUCUUAAUUUCUAUGUUCUUAUUCAAGCUAUCAUGGAGAUCUAUUGUCUCAUUUCUGGAAAUCUGGUGAUUACCCAAAGUAUUAGUCCAUCUGGGUUUCACAAUUGAGAAUGUUUGGAGAAAACCCAUCUUCAAAAGCUGUGAAGAUGCUCAUAUCAGAAGUUUCAGAACCAGCAUAUAUUCAGGGCGUUUACUUGAAGGGUUUAGGGCUCACGAAGUAGUGUUCUGGACUCUGGACUCUGGAGAGGAGAUGCCACCGAUAACCCAAUAAACCAAGAAAAUGAAAUGUGAUAAUGGACACAGAAUCCAAAAACAAGGUAGCAUGCGACCCAACUGGAAAUCACGCAUCAACCAAUUCUGUAGGCAUUACACAGAUCGGUAUUGUUCACAUAUAAUGGGUAACAUGCCUGGGCUGACGCCAUCAAAAUAUAUACACUGUUUAAAGAUUCUCAACUUGUGACCAUCAUAUGCCUACUGUUAUGUAAGAAUGUUAAUUAUAUGCUUCUGCUACUAAGCUUCUUGCCUGUAACAAAUCUGAACAUGUGGAAUAAGAAGUGAAUAUAAGGGAUUACACAA